CGGACGGCUUCGAGCAGUACCAGGUGCGGGGGCUGAUCCCGGCCACUCUCUACGAGGUCGCCGUGCGGGCAUUCACGCGCGCGGUCCGGGCCGCUGUCCACGCCCAGGAUCGUGGAUUCUACGAGCCAUGACGCGCCCUCCUGUCCUCCUGCUGGAGUGUCAUGCCGAGGGUCUGGGCGUGGAGUGGUGAGGGUGUGGUGGUCGCAGCCGCCCACGCACUGCAGUCAGACUCCUGUUGCUGGCUAUACAAUCGUCGCGACGCCCACCACACACACGCAUCACCCUUCAGACAGCACAAAAUGGGAAGUCAACACAACCAACCUGGAGAAGAACCUGGACUCGCUCCCGCCAGCCACCAACAUCAGCGUGCGAGUCAAGGCCUUCAAUAACGUCGGCUUUAGUCCCUCCAACAAACCCGUUUUCUGUGUCACGGAG